rnacentral:snRNA from 1 species
GACUUUGAGGGUGAUCUGUCUGUGACAUAUGUCACCCCACUGCUUGCCAGGGUUGGUUGAUUUAGCUGAUCUGGCUGUCUGAGUAUCCUCUUCCUCCCUCACCACUCCAUGUGCCUGCAUUUAUCUGGAAGCUGAAGGAUCAGUGGAAGAGGACCAGAACAACAUUCCCUGCAUAGAGGAGAGCCAGGCUACUAUCCCCUGCUAGGAAAUCCUAACAUGCUCUCAAGAAAGAUAUUUGUGUCUACAAUCUGGGGUACUGUCCAUCUGU